ensembl:misc_RNA Y_RNA Y RNA
AGCUGGUUCAACGGUAGUGGGUUAUCAGAACUUAUUAACAUUAGUGUCACUAAAGUUGGUAUACCCUCCCCCCACUGCUUAAUUUGGCUGGCUUAAA